ACGAAACCUGAUUCUCCACACAAAAUUUGAAUAUGUUUCAACCUUUCCUCUUGCAACACCCACGUUGGCGAUUUCCAAUUGAACAAAAUCACCUAUUGAAAAUCAAUUUCUCCUUUCGCUAGUCUGUGCUUCGUUUAACCUAGUUGAAUUCUGUUUUUCUUUCUUCCACUAGUGGAUUGGUGGUUUAACAUUUGAGUGAAUUUCUUUUCGACGAGCACUAAUCCAGAGAAAAUUCGACAAUGGCUGCUUCAUUUUCUUCCUUCAGAAGCUAUUAAUUAAGAGAUUAUCACACAACAGAAGGCGAGAUGCAUAGACUGAAAUCUCACUUAGAUUUUAAUUGGGGCAUCCUUAAAUUAGAGGUAAUUUGUGCCUCUGAAUUUACGCUUCUUUAAAUUGAGCCACAAAUAUGGGAUUCGUGAAGGCUAUAAUGCGGUUUUUUAUGAUGAUUUUGCAUAUUUACAGAAUCAUAUAAUUCUAUCAAAAUUGGUUUAACUUAAAAGCAACAUGCUUGGUACAUAUUCUUAUGUUUGAAUGUUUUGAAUCCGUAAUUUAUUGAUUGAAUCACUUUUAAAAUUUUAGCAGUGUUUGGUCGGGAAAAAAUCAUACAAUUAUGUACCGCGAUAUAAAUUCAGGGGCCGGAUCCAAGAUCGGGCUACUGUGCCGAAACAAAUUUUUUUACACAUAAAAAACUGAUUUUUUACCAAAAAAAUAUAAAAUAAAUACCUUAAAAAAAUGCUAUUGGACCUGAGAGAGGGGGGGGGGGGGGGCUACCCCCUAAAUCCGCCUCUGGCGAUAUUCGUAAAAUUAUUUUUAUCCACAAUGAUUUGUGACGGUUCUUUAAUUAUUCUUUUGCAGAGUCGAAAGGAUUUGGAAGAUUUUCUCUUUGUAGUGAGAAGGUAGUUUUUUCUUACGAAUUUUUGUGAAGCGGAUUUCCUUCUUUGACUAAGUUUUUAGGGUUUUCUAUGGAUUUAAUAAAUUUUGGUUUUCAGGCCGAUGUUGCAGUAAAUCGAUAAUUUUGUUGAACAAACUCUAAUAACCGCUGCCAUGUCACCUUCUACGAGUCCAAUGUUGAUACAAGCCAAUUGGUAAUCUAUACACUAAGUAGAGGAAUUUAUAUGCAUAUGUGGGUUUUAUGCACGUAGAAAUGCAUGCAGCGUCACAUCAUUUAAUGAAUUUGUCUUUUAUUCACAAUGAUUUGUAAGUGUUUUUAAUUAUUAUUUGCAGAGUCGAAAAAGAAGUGAAAUGUUUUCUCUUUGUAGUGAAAUGGUAAUUUUUCUUAGGAAUUUUGGUGAAUCUCAAUAUUUUUUUUUUUUACUGAGUUUCUAGGGGUAUUCCAAUUUAUAGUAAAGAAUCAUCGUAAUACAAGUUACUCGGUAAAAUUUGUUACAUUUAGUUGAAUAACAUACAAAAUUGAUUGCAGUUUAUAUGAAACUGAGUGAAAAUGCAAUUGAUGCAAAGAUGGAUUUUGGUAUACGUGAUAUGAUGCCUGAGUUCAUUGAUUUGAGCAGAUAAUUUGGUGGAGAAUCUCUUGGCAAUUUUGAGUAUAAAGUGUAGGUUCCGUAUUUAUUGUAUCGUAAUGUUGCUCAAGAGAUAAAUGGAAUAUGGUUCUAUAAUCAAUGUGAAUGUGAAGAAAUUGUCUCUCAUUUUCUUAUAUGUGUAGUUGUUUUGUCUGCUUCCAUUUUGUUGGUUGCUUGUAUUAGUAAAUAAGUUUAUAUUUGGCAAUAUAAGAACGUGUGUUCUAUACGAAUUUCAAUUAAUUGAAAGAAUACUGAAGUCGGUUUAAAACCUUGAAUUCGUAGAUUUUCUUGAUAUCUGUUUGUGUUUGAAAGAAUACUGAAGUCGGUUUAAAACCUUGAAUUUCUUGAUAUCUGUUUGUGUCAAUAAAUAUCAUCAUUUAAGGCUGAUUAAAGAAAUGGAAUUGAGUUUAUUUUCAUAGUGAUAUGUCUACUUGAUUUAUGAUUCUAUUAAUGCUGGAAGUUGAAGAUAAUAUUGUUAAAUUACACCCUCGCCCACCUUUUUCUUGUGCUUGAUUUUUAUUUUUCAUGUUGGUGUUGUGGAAGGUGCAAAGCAUAAUCGACGGGUUUUUAACCCCUAAGUGGAAGCUGAAGAAAGUUGAAUUUAAUUUAACAGUCAUACAAUAGCAGUUAAGCCUUCACGCUAGAAGUAGAAAAUAAAGUUAUUUUUCGAGAUUCCCAUAUAUAAAAUGUGCUAAUUGUGAAAUCAACUAUGUAAUUUGUAUGAAUUGCCGCAUUGACAUUCUUAAAUUGUGAGUAAUACAUUCAUUUGUAGGUAAUUUGUGGUUUCUUAGACAAAUUUUUCCAUUCUUGUAAUUGAUUUUUCUCCCCUAAUGGCAAGUAGUUUGAGACUAAAAUAUUUGAUUCAAAGGAGUAUUUGUAUCGUACCUUUAUUAAUCUGGUGUAAAAUGAUAACUACAGGUGUUCAAAUUGUAGGAUAAUUUAA
rnacentral:lncRNA from 1 species